rnacentral:rRNA from 1 species
UGGGGAAUAUUGCNCAAUGGGCGAAAGCCUGAUUGCAGCAACGCCGCGUGAACGAUGAAGGUCUUCGGAUCGUAAAGUUCUGUUGCAGGGGAAGAUAAUGACGGUACCCUGUGAGGAAGCCCCGGCUAACUACGUGCCAGCAGCCGCGGUAAUACGUAGGGGGCUAGCGUUAUCCGGAUUUACUGGGCGUAAAGGGUGCGUAGGUGGUCCUUCAAGUCGGUGGUUAAAGGCUACGGCUCAACCGUAGUAAGCCGCCGAAACUGGAGGACUUGAGUGCAGGAGAGGAAAGUGGAAUUCCCAGUGUAGCGGUGAAAUGCGUAGAUAUUGGGAGGAACACCAGUAGCGAAGGCGGCUUUCUGGACUGCAACUGACACUGAGGCACGAAAGCGUGGGUAGCAAACAGGAUUAGAUACCCUGGUAGUCCACGCUGUAAACGAUGAGUACUAGGUGUCGGGGGUUACCCCCCUCGGUGCCGCAGCUAACGCAUUAAGUACUCCGCCUGGGGAGUACGCACGCAAGUGUG